GUGCCAGCAGCCGCGGUAAGACGAAGGGGGCUAGCGUUGUUCGGAAUUACUGGGCGUAAAGCGCGUGUAGGCGGUUGCCAUAGUCAGGUGUGAAAGCCUUGAGCUCAACUCAAGAAAUGCACUUGAUACUGGGCGACUAGAGGACCGGAGAGGAUAGUGGAAUUCCCAGUGUAGUGGUGAAAUACGUAGAGAUUGGGAAGAACACCAGUGGCGAAGGCGGCUAUCUGGACGGUUUCUGACGCUAAGACGCGAAAGCGUGGGGAGCAAACAGGAUUAGAUACCCUAGUAGUCC
rnacentral:rRNA from 1 species